AGGAGGAUUGAGAAAGUUUGGCAGUUGCAUACGUGCUGCUAAAACUGGUUAUUACCUCCUAGAUUAAUGACUUAACAUCAA